rnacentral:rRNA from 1 species
UACGUAGGGGGCAAGCGUUGUCCGGAAUCAUUGGGCGUAAAGCGCGUGUAGGCGGUUCGGUAAGUCUGCUGUGAAAGUCCAGGGCUCAACCCUGGGAUGCCGGUGGAUACUGUCGGACUAGAGUACGGAAGAGGCGAGUGGAAUUCCCGGUGUGGCGGUGAAAUGCGCAGAUAUCGGGAGGAACACCAAUUGCGAAGGCAGCUCGCUGGGACGUCACUGACGCUGAGACGCGAAAGCGUGGGGAGCAAACAGG